GGUUAAGCGACUAAGCGUACACGGUGGAUGCCCUGGCAGUCAGAGGCGAUGAAGGACGUGCUAAUCUGCGAUAAGCGUCGGUAAGGUGAUAUGAACCGUUAUAACCGGCGAUUUCCGAAUGGGGAAACCCAGUGUGAUUCGUCACACUAUCAUUAACUGAAUCCAUAGGUUAAUGAGGCGAACCGGGGGAACUGAAACAUCUAAGUACCCCGAGGAAAAGAAAUCAACCGAGAUUCCCCCAGUAGCGGCGAGCGAACGGGGAGGAGCCCAGAGCCUGAAUCAGUGUGUGUGUUAGUGGAAGCGUCUGGAAAGGCGCGCGAUACAGGGUGACAGCCCCGUACACAAAAAUGCACAUGCUGUGAGCUCGAUGAGUAGGGCGGGACACGUGGUAUCCUGUCUGAAUAUGGGGGGACCAUCCUCCAAGGCUAAAUACUCCUGACUGACCGAUAGUGAACCAGUACCGUGAGGGAAAGGCGAAAAGAACCCCGGCGAGGGGAGUGAAAAAGAACCUGAAACCGUGUACGUACAAGCAGUGGGAGCCUCUUAAUGGGGUGACUGCGUACCUUUUGUAUAAUGGGUCAGCGACUUAUAUUCUGUAGCAAGGUUAACCGAAUAGGGGAGCCGAAGGGAAACCGAGUCUUAACUGGGCGUUAAGUUGCAGGGUAUAGACCCGAAACCCGGUGAUCUAGCCAUGGGCAGGUUGAAGGUUGGGUAACACUAACUGGAGGACCGAACCGACUAAUGUUGAAAAAUUAGCGGAUGACUUGUGGCUGGGGGUGAAAGGCCAAUCAAACCGGGAGAUAGCUGGUUCUCCCCGAAAGCUAUUUAGGUAGCGCCUCGUGAAUUCAUCUCCGGGGGUAGAGCACUGUUUCGGCAAGGGGGUCAUCCCGACUUACCAACCCGAUGCAAACUGCGAAUACCGGAGAAUGUUAUCACGGGAGACACACGGCGGGUGCUAACGUCCGUCGUGAAGAGGGAAACAACCCAGACCGCCAGCUAAGGUCCCAAAGUCAUGGUUAAGUGGGAAACGAUGUGGGAAGGCCCAGACAGCCAGGAUGUUGGCUUAGAAGCAGCCAUCAUUUAAAGAAAGCGUAAUAGCUCACUGGUCGAGUCGGCCUGCGCGGAAGAUGUAACGGGGCUAAACCAUGCACCGAAGCUGCGGCAGCGACACUAUGUGUUGUUGGGUAGGGGAGCGUUCUGUAAGCCUGUGAAGGUGGCCUGUGAGGGUUGCUGGAGGUAUCAGAAGUGCGAAUGCUGACAUAAGUAACGAUAAAGCGGGUGAAAAGCCCGCUCGCCGGAAGACCAAGGGUUCCUGUCCAACGUUAAUCGGGGCAGGGUGAGUCGACCCCUAAGGCGAGGCCGAAAGGCGUAGUCGAUGGGAAACAGGUUAAUAUUCCUGUACUUGGUGUUACUGCGAAGGGGGGACGGAGAAGGCUAUGUUGGCCGGGCGACGGUUGUCCCGGUUUAAGCGUGUAGGCUGGUUUUCCAGGCAAAUCCGGAAAACCAAGGCUGAGGCGUGAUGACGAGGCACUACGGUGCUGAAGUGACAAAUGCCCUGCUUCCAGGAAAAGCCUCUAAGCAUCAGGUAACAUCAAAUCGUACCCCAAACCGACACAGGUGGUCAGGUAGAGAAUACCAAGGCGCUUGAGAGAACUCGGGUGAAGGAACUAGGCAAAAUGGUGCCGUAACUUCGGGAGAAGGCACGCUGAUAUGUAGGUGAAGCGACUUGCUCGUGGAGCUGAAAUCAGUCGAAGAUACCAGCUGGCUGCAACUGUUUAUUAAAAACACAGCACUGUGCAAACACGAAAGUGGACGUAUACGGUGUGACGCCUGCCCGGUGCCGGAAGGUUAAUUGAUGGGGUUAGCGGUAACGCGAAGCUCUUGAUCGAAGCCCCGGUAAACGGCGGCCGUAACUAUAACGGUCCUAAGGUAGCGAAAUUCCUUGUCGGGUAAGUUCCGACCUGCACGAAUGGCGUAAUGAUGGCCAGGCUGUCUCCACCCGAGACUCAGUGAAAUUGAACUCGCUGUGAAGAUGCAGUGUACCCGCGGCAAGACGGAAAGACCCCGUGAACCUUUACUAUAGCUUGACACUGAACAUUGAGCCUUGAUGUGUAGGAUAGGUGGGAGGCUUUGAAGUGUGGACGCCAGUCUGCAUGGAGCCGACCUUGAAAUACCACCCUUUAAUGUUUGAUGUUCUAACGUUGGCCCCUAAUCGGGGUUGCGGACAGUGUCUGGUGGGUAGUUUGACUGGGGCGGUCUCCUCCUAAAGAGUAACGGAGGAGCACGAAGGUUGGCUAAUCCUGGUCGGACAUCAGGAGGUUAGUGCAAUGGCAUAAGCCAGCUUGACUGCGAGCGUGACGGCGCGAGCAGGUGCGAAAGCAGGUCAUAGUGAUCCGGUGGUUCUGAAUGGAAGGGCCAUCGCUCAACGGAUAAAAGGUACUCCGGGGAUAACAGGCUGAUACCGCCCAAGAGUUCAUAUCGACGGCGGUGUUUGGCACCUCGAUGUCGGCUCAUCACAUCCUGGGGCUGAAGUAGGUCCCAAGGGUAUGGCUGUUCGCCAUUUAAAGUGGUACGCGAGCUGGGUUUAGAACGUCGUGAGACAGUUCGGUCCCUAUCUGCCGUGGGCGCUGGAGAACUGAGGGGGGCUGCUCCUAGUACGAGAGGACCGGAGUGGACGCAUCACUGGUGUUCGGGUUGUCAUGCCAAUGGCACUGCCCGGUAGCUAAAUGCGGAAGAGAUAAGUGCUGAAAGCAUCUAAGCACGAAACUUGCCCCGAGAUGAGUUCUCCCUGAGACUUAGAGUCUCCUGAAGGAACGUUGAAGACGACGACGUUGAUAGGCCGGGUGUGUAAGCGCAGCGAUGCGUUGAGCUAACCGGUACUAAUGAACCGUGAGGCUUAACCUUACAACGCCGAAGAUGUUUUG
rnacentral:rRNA from 1 species